rnacentral:ncRNA from 1 species
GUAGAGUAAAUAUUGUGCGUUAAGUGCUAUGAGAUGGGAUGUUGCUCAUAGACGAAAGUCUUACUGACUGCGGUACAAUAUUGCGUCCGCUGC